rnacentral:rRNA from 1 species
GACGAACGCUGGCGGCGUGCCUAAUACAUGCAAGUAGAACGCUGAAGGAGGAGCUUGCUUCUCUGGAUGAGUUGCGAACGGGUGAGUAACGCGUAGGUAACCUGCCUGGUAGCGGGGGAUAACUAUUGGAAACGAUAGCUAAUACCGCAUAAGAGUAGAUGUUGCAUGACAUUUGCUUAAAAGGUGCAAUUGCAUCACUACCAGAUGGACCUGCGUUGUAUUAGCUAGUUGGUGGGGUAACGGCUCACCAAGGCGACGAUACAUAGCCGACCUGAGAGGGCGAUCGGCCACACUGGGACUGAGACACGGCCCAGACUCCUACGGGAGGCAGCAGUAGGGAAUCUUCGGCAAUGGACGGAAGUCUGACCGAGCAACGCCGCGUGAGUGAAGAAGGUUUUCGGAUCGUAAAGCUCUGUUGUAAGAGAAGAACGAGUGUGAGAGUGGAAAGUUCACACUGUGACGGUAUCUUACCAGAAAGGGACGGCUAACUACGUGCCAGCAGCCGCGGUAAUACGUAGGUCCCGAGCGUUGUCCGGAUUUAUUGGGCGUAAAGCGAGCGCAGGCGGUUAGAUAAGUCUGAAGUUAAAGGCUGUGGCUUAACCAUAGUACGCUUUGGAAACUGUUUAACUUGAGUGCAAGAGGGGAGAGUGGAAUUCCAUGUGUAGCGGUGAAAUGCGUAGAUAUAUGGAGGAACACCGGUGGCGAAAGCGGCUCUCUGGCUUGUAACUGACGCUGAGGCUCGAAAGCGUGGGGAGCAAACAGG